ensembl:miRNA Mir670 microRNA 670
GGUUUGGAGGUGGGCCUGACAUCCCUGAGUGUAUGUGGUGAACCUGAACUUGCCCUGGGUUUCCUCACAUCCAUUCAGGAGUGUCAGCUGCCUCUUCACU